rnacentral:rRNA from 1 species
GACGUAGGGCGCGAGCGUUGUCCGGAUUUAUUGGGCGUAAAGAGCUCGUAGGCGGCUUGUCGCGUCGACUGUGAAAUCCCUCGGCUUAACCGGGGAACUGCGUCUGAUACUGGAUGGCUUGAGUGUAGGAGAGGGAUGCGGAAUUCCAGGUGUAGCGGUGAAAUGCGUAGAUAUCUGGAGGAACACCGGUGGCGAAGGCGGCAUCCUGGACUACUACUGACGCUGAGUGAGCGAAAGCCAGGGGAGCAAACGGG